rnacentral:tRNA from 1 species
GGGAAUGUAGCUGAGUGGCACAGUGUGAGCCUAACAAGUGUGAGGCUUGGGAUUGAUCCCCAGCACUACCA